rnacentral:rRNA from 1 species
UACGGAGGGUGCAAGCGUUAUCCGGAUUCACUGGGUUUAAAGGGUGCGUAGGCGGAAUAAUAAGUCAGAGGUGAAAGCCUACAGCUUAACUGUAGAAUUGCCUUUGAUACUGUUGUUCUUGAGUACAUUUGAUGUGGGCGGAAUGUGUCAUGUAGCGGUGAAAUGCCUAGAUAUGACACAGAACACCGAUUGCGAAGGCAGCUCACAAAACUGUUACUGACGCUGAGGCACGAAAGCGUGGGGAUCAAACAGG